UCGAGAAUCUUCGGCAAUGGGCGAAAGCCUGACCGAGCGAUGCCGCGUGCGGGAUGAAGGCCUUCGGGUUGUAAACCGCUGUCGUAGGGGAGAAAGGGUCGUUGAAGAAACGACUUUGAUCUAUCCUAGGAGGAAGUCCGGGCUAAGUUCGUGCCAGCAGCCGCGGUAACACGAACCGGACAAACGUUAUUCGGAAUUACUGGGCUUAAAGGGUGCGUAGGCGGUGCGGUAAGUGCGGUGUGAAAUCCCACGGCUCAACCGUGGAAUUGCGCUGCAUACUGCCGUGCUAGAGGGAGACAGGGGUAAGCGGAACUGAUGGUGGAGCGGUGAAAUGCGUUGAUAUCAUCAGGAACACCAGUGGCGAAGGCGACUGACUGGACAAGUAUUGACGCUGAGGU
rnacentral:rRNA from 1 species